AUUGAACGCUGGCGGCAGGCUUAACACAUGCAAGUCGAGCGGGGUGAGGUGCUUCGGUACUGAUCCUAGCGGCGGACGGGUGAGUAAUGCUUAGGAAUCUGCCAUUUAGUGGGGGACAACAUUCCGAAAGGGAUGCUAAUACCGCAUACGUCCUACGGGAGAAAGCAGGGGAUCUUCGGACCUUGCGCUAAAUGACGUGCCUAAGUCGGAUUAGCUAGUUGGUGGGGUAAAGGCCUACCAAGGCGACGAUCUGUAGCGGGUCUGAGAGGAUGAUCCGCCACACUGGGACUGAGACACGGCCCAGACUCCUACGGGAGGCAGCAGUGGGGAAUAUUGGACAAUGGGCGGAAGCCUGAUCCAGCCAUGCCGUGUGUGUGAAGAAGGCCUUUUGGUUGUAAAGCACUUUAAGCGAGGAGGAGGCUACCUAGAUUAAUACUCUGGGAUAGUGGACGUUACUCGCAGAAUAAGCACCGGCUAACUCUGUGCCAGCCGCCGCAGUAAAAC
rnacentral:rRNA from 1 species